GAAUGUAAGUUUUUGACUGAGAACUCGCAUUGUAUCAGCUCAAAACGUCUACAGCAGUGUUUUCCUGUCGCGGUCAACAACCAUUCGUCUGCCCUGCCUGCGCUUUCGCACGGGGUCCUAAUGUGUGUGUGUGUGUUACAGGAUUGGAAGUGUGCAUUCCUAAUACCUGCAACGAGACUAACCGAGCCGCAAGGGCCCCUCGUCUCCUGGAACUGGAUUGUUAGUUGCAUCUUGCACACCAUGUGCACCGUCGUGGUGCUGCCUAAUCAAAAGACAGCGCUUAGACCAAAUAUCCUAAUAGGUCCUAAUAGUUUGCAAUUGCUUAUGCAUGCAAAUAUCUGCUUGC
rnacentral:lncRNA from 1 species